rnacentral:rRNA from 1 species
AUUGAACGCUGGCGGCAGGCCUAACACAUGCAAGUCGAACGAGUGGCGGACGGGUGAGUAAUGUGUGGGAAACUGCCCGAUGGGGGGGGAUCACUACUGGAAACGGUCGCUAAUACCGCAAACCAUCGGAUGUGCCCAGAUGGGAUUAGCUAGUAGGUGGGGUAACGGCUCACCGAGGCGACGAUCCCUAGCUGGUCUGAGAGGAUGAACAGCCACACUGGAACUGAGACACGGCCCAGACUCCUACGGGAGGCAGCAGUGGGGAAUCUUGCACAAUGGGCGAAAGCCUGAUGCAGCCAUGCCGCGUGUAUGAAGAAGGCCUUCGGGUUGUAAAGUUCUUUCAGUGGGGAGGAGUUACCCGCAGAAGAAGCACCGGCUAACUCCGUGGCAGCCGCCGGGGUAAUUC